AACAAUUGCCAAGUACUCUUAUAGCACUAACUAGUUAUUAAAACAAAAUCAGUGAAGCAGAAACCAAUGGCUCAUUAGAAAAAGAGGUUUUGGCUAUAUUUGAGGAUUGUUUGCAGUAAUGGUAAAGCAUUCAUUUAUCAACUGGGUAAUUUGAGUCUAAUGAUUCACAAUCACUGAGGGACACUAGGCACCCAGAAAAAUGAAUCUCAUUGAAGUGAUCUGGUGCAAUGUGCCUUU